GUGAUUUUGACCACUUCACUCAAUCUCUCUGAACUUCAGUAUUCUCAAAGAUGAGAAAACUGGCUUCUGUAGCAUCUGAAGUUUCUUCAGAAUCUGGUUUCCCAAAAUGAGCAAAAUAAUCUUAAACACAUAUACACACACAUAUACAUACACAGAUAUAUAUAUGUGUGUGUGUGUGUUUGGUGUGUGUGUGUGUGUAUAAGAAUAGCAUUGGGCAAAAAAAUAUAAAAAUGUCUAAUUGGCAUCUAAGCCUACUAUAAUGAAAGACACAUAAGCAGAAAGGUAGUGUAAAACAGUACGUUUUUAUUAUUUCACUCUUUGACGGCAGACCACAAUGGUAAACUUUAACGUCUCUUUUCCUUAUUGGGCAUAGAUAGCUUUGGACCUUCGCAGUAGUGAGACAGCCAGAUGGGAAGGGGUCCCCAGAGAAACUCCAGCCCGCACACUGGGCAGAGUGUGCACUGGGGUGGAGCCACAGAAGUUUGCGCCAUUUGCAGUGGACAGGAGCCUGGCCCCUCCUCUUCCUGGAUGGAACCUGGAAUUCAAACUGUGAGGCGGGAAGUGCACUAGCAAGGACUCUGGCUUUGUGGACCAUCCCUCUUUCCCUCUUUUCCUUUUCACCCAAAAAACCCUGCCCUCCUCAUGCUUCAUGUUGUCUGUGACCCUAAUUUUUCAUGGCCAUGUGAUAAGGACCCCUGUCUUUAGCUGAAAUAAGGAAAAGUCCCACAACAUUUUUGGUGCCCAAAAUGGGGCUCGAGAAUCGGUGGGUGAGUUGCAAACCAAGGAAUCUUUUUCCCUCUCCUUUCUGAGCCUUUCAUCCUCAGACUUCUGAGGGUAGGGGAAAUCAUGCCCCCACCCCCGUUGUCGCUUCCAGGGGUUGGGAUGGUCGACCUGUCUCCAUGGCCUUUUACUUCCUUUUUCCAGAUGAACCGGUGAGCAGUGGCUCCUCAUCACCCUCCCCUCCCUGCUGGGGCUGGGAUACACAUCCCAAGGUGCCCCAGGUACAUGGCUGUGUUUACUGCCAUGGGCCCAUGAAGUCUCUCCCUCCCCAGGUCAAGGAGGCUUUUUUUUUUUUUUUGAGACAGAAUCUUGCUCUGUCACCUAGGCUGGAGUGCAGUGGCAUGAUCUUAGCUCACUGCAACCUCCGCCUCCCGGGUUCAAGCAAUUGUCCUGCCUUAGCCUCCCAAGUAGCUGGGACUACAGGCAUGCACCACCACGCCUGGCUAAUGUUUGUAUGUAGAGAUGGAGUUUCACCAUGUUGGCCAGGCUGGUCUCGAACUCCUGACCUCAAGUGAUCUGCUGGCCUUGGCCUCCCAAAAUGCUGGGUCUAGAGGCAUGAGCCACCGUGCCCAGCCUAAGAAUGUCACUUUCUAACAGGUCCAAGAACUCCAAGUUUAUCUUGGGACCUUAAGAGAAGAGAAUCACUCAACUCACAGGCAUUUGAGGAUACAAACCCAUGACUGGGCUUGGCUUUAAAAGGUCUUAUCUGAGACUCCUUGUGAAACAGUUCCAUCAAAGCCAAUCCAAAAGGCCUAUGUAGAAAUAAUUAUUCCUCUUGCACUUUAUGCAAAUAAUCAGACCAAGUGUAAGACUACAAUCUAUUUUGCAAACAACUCAGUCCUAUCAUGAUUUAUGUUUUUUUGUUUGUUUUUUCCAAAAAUGAGGACUAGAGAGAAAGAAAUUGUGUUUCAAAACUUAUCAUACAUUUGCCAUUAAAUUCUAAACUCACUAGUUGUUUUUAAGUUUUUGCCUACAGUUUAGAUGAACCUUGCUUGUUCCUGUGAACCAACAAGCAAGCUCCAGCUACAGCUCAGAAAGAACAAAAGGCCAUCAAACUCCAGUCAUGCAACUGGAGAGGCGGACAAUGGCCCAUUCUGCUGGGAACCCUUAAAUAGGCCUCUGAGGGACUUUGACUGCUGUUUUGCCGAAACAGCACCCCCUG
rnacentral:lncRNA from 1 species